GGAGGACUAGUCCUAACUGGUAAGGCAGCGGACUUGAAAUCCGCCGGCCGCAAGGCCAUGGGGGUUCGAAUCCCUCGUCCUCCG
rnacentral:tRNA from 1 species